GGUUCAAUCAAGGUUGUUGACUGACAAGGAGAAAGAUAUGGCAGAAAAGAUGAAUUUUCUUGAUGGGAAAGAAAGAAGUCUUAAUGCUGCUGAGAGGGACAGUGAGUUGAGGAGAGCACUUAUACAGCAAGAAAAAGAAGAGAUUAACAAAAUAAAGUUAGAACUCCAGGAGUCCUUGAAUUAUUUGGAAGACAAAAAGAAACAAGUCGAUUGUGCGAAGGAGAAACUAGAGACUAUGAAAAUUGAAACAAAUGAGCUCUCAGUUUUGGGGAUGAAACUUAAAGAAGAGGUUGAUAUGGUCAGGGCUCAGAAAUUGGAACUUAUGGCUGAAGAAGACAGAUUGAAGGUUGAAAAGGCUAAGUUUGAAACUGAAUGGGAGCUUAUUGAUGAAAAAAGGGAAGAACUGCAGACAGAAGCUGAACGUAUAGUUGAGGAGAGACAGGCGGUUUAUAGGUUACUUAAGGAUGAACGGGAUAGUCUAAGACUAGAGAAGGAAACAAUUCAAGAACAGCAUAAACAUGAUGUUGAGUUGCUUAACCAUGAGCGGGAGGAAUUUAUGAACAAGAUGGAGCAUGAGCAUGCUGAGUGGUUCGACAAAAUUCAGAAGGAACAUUCAGAUUUCUUGUUGGGUAUUGAGAUGCAGAAGAGAGAGCUGGAGAACAGUAUAGAGAAAAGGCGUGAAGAGGUGGAAAGCUAUUUAAGGGGUCAAGAGAAAGCCUUUGAGAUAGAAAAGAAAAAUGAACUUCAACAUAUUAGAUCUCUUAGAGAGAAAGCAGCAAAAGAGUUGGAGGAUGUUGCUUUAGAGAUGAAGAAGCUUGAUUCUGAGAGAACAGAGAUAAAUUUAGAUCGUGAGCGAAGAGACAUGGAAUGGGCUGUGCUGAAUAAAUCCAUCGAGGACCUUAAGGAUCAAACUCAGAAAUUAGAGAAACAGAGGGAAUUAUUACAUGCAGAAAGAGAGGAGGUUUGUCUUCAGAUUGAACGCCUGGAAAAAUUGGAAGAUUUGAAACUUAUGUUGGAUAACAUGGAAGUGGCUAAGAUACAAC
rnacentral:misc_RNA from 1 species